GGGCCCGCACAAGCGGUGGAGCAUGUGGUUUAAUUCGAUGAUACGCGAGGAACCUUACCAAGGCUUAAAUGUAGGGCGACGUACCCGGAAACGGGUAUUUCUUCGGACGACCUACAAGGUGCUGCAUGGUUGUCGUCAGCUCGUGCCGUGAGGUGUCGGGUUAAGUCCCAUAACGAGCGCAACCCCUACCUUUAGUUGCCAUCGGGUAAAGCCGGGGACUCUAGAGGAACUGCCAGUGUAAACUGUGAGGAAGGUGGGGAUGACGUCAAAUCAUCACGGCCCUUACGUCUUGGGCUACACACGUGCUACAAUGGCAAGUACAAUGAGCAGCCACCUGGUGACAGGGAGCGAAUCUACAAAGCUUGUCUCAGUUCGGAUUGAAGUCUGCAACUCGACUUCAUGAAGUUGGAAUCGCUAGUAAUCGGAUAUC
rnacentral:rRNA from 1 species